AGAGUCCUGAAGUGUACGUUGGUAUACCUGAAGUUUUGACCGAACAUUUUAUCUAAGGGAGUCUAGAGUUUUCUAGCAGCGUAAAUGCCCCAAUCCAUCGGGAUUUAAGGGGACUUACAAAAGCUGGAAACAGGACACCCACCUGCCGAGGGCGGGAUCAAAACAAAGGUUUAAAACGACGGCACGCUCGGGACUCUU
rnacentral:other from 1 species